rnacentral:rRNA from 1 species
UACGAAGGGUGCAAACGUUGCUCGGAAUUAUUGGGCGUAAAGCGCACGUAGGCGGCUUUGCAAGUCGGAUGUGAAAUCCCUCGGCUUAACCAAGGAAGUGCAUCCGAAACUGCAGAGCUUGAGUACUUAAGAGGAUCGCGGAAUUCCCGGUGUAGAGGUAGAAAUUCGUAGAUAUCGGGAGGAACACCAGUGGCGAAGGCGGCGAUCUGGGAAGAUACUGACGCUGAGGCACGAAAGCGUGGGGAGCGAACAGG